rnacentral:rRNA from 1 species
UACGUAGGGUGCAAGCGUUAAUCGGAAUUACUGGGCGUAAAGCGUGCGCAGGCGGUUAUGCAAGACAGAUGUGAAAUCCCCGGGCUUAACCUGGGAACCGCAUUUGUGACUGCAUAGCUGGAGUACGGCAGAGGGGGAUGGAAUUCCGCGUGUAGCAGUGAAAUGCGCAGAUAUCAGGAGGAACACCGGUGGCGAAGGCGACUACCUGGCCUGUUCUUGACGCUGAGGCGCGAAAGCUAGGGGAGCAAACGGG